CCCUUAGAUGUCCUGGGCUGCACGCGCGCUACACUGGAAGUUACGGAUUGAGAUACUACCUUGUCCGAAAUGGUCCGGGUAAUCACCUAAAAGCUCGUCAUAAUUGGAAUGGAUUAUUGUAACUAGUAAUCCUGAACGAGGAAUUCCUAGUAAGUCCCAGUCAACAGCUGGUACUGAUUACGUCCCUGCCCUUUGUACACACCGCCCGUCGCUACUACUGAUUGGACGUUUAAGCAAGAUUUUUAAACACUGACAGUGUGUAGUUCACGCUAUACUACAGUGAGAAGAAGAAGAUCGAGCUUACUUGUCUAGAGGAAGUAAAAGUCGUAACA
rnacentral:rRNA from 1 species